UACGGAGGGUGCGAGCGUUGUCCGGAAUCAUUGGGCGUAAAGGGCGCGUAGGCGGCGGGCCAAGCGUGCGGUGAAAGCCUGGGGCUCAACCCCGGGUCGGCCGUGCGAACUGUUUUGCUUGAGCACUGUAGAGGCAGGCGGAAUUCCGGGUGUAGCGGUGGAAUGCGUAGAGAUCCGGAAGAACACCGGUGGCGAAGGCGGCCUGCUGGGCAGUAGCUGACACUGAGGCGCGACAGCGUGGGGAGCAAACAGG
rnacentral:rRNA from 1 species